CCUCUUCCGCAGUCUCAGCACUCGAAGGCGGAUGUAACGUAUCUGGAGUGAGUGUGUUAUGACUGUUUUCCCUUGGAUAAUAUUUUCAAGAUGGACGCAUCGAUAGCAUGGCGAUGUUUACUACUCUUCAUUGUAACUAUUGACCAGGCAUACAGCCAGUGUUCCGGAUCUCGAUGUGGGGAAUGUCUCAUAACGAACACAUGUGCCUGGUGUAAAGACAGGAAUUUCACUGGAACACGAUGUGCCACAGACGCUCAGUUGACUUCAGAUGGUUGUUCUAGUAUUGUUCGAAGGAAGGAACAUGAAGUUAUAUACAUCAGGAACAAUGAUUUUUCUGAUGGAGGACCCGGACAGGAUUCUAUUCAGAUCAAACCACAACAUGUCAAAAUUAAACUGGUUCCCAACGAGGUGCUGAAUACCUUCAUGGUGUACUAUAAAAUUGCAAGAAAUUUUCCACUAGAUCUUUACUUCUUGAAUGACCCUUCUUAUACAAUGAGGGAAUUACAAAGCUCCUUAAAAUCGUUAGCCAAAGCUAUUGCAAACGAAAUAGAAACCUUAACAACAGAUUACCAGUUUGGAUUGGGGACAGCUAUGGAUAAGGUUAUAUUGCCAUUUACACGAACAUCCCCGCUUUAUCUAGCUGAUCCGUGUGUGGGAACCAGUAUCACGUGUGAACCAGCUUACUCCUAUCGGCACCGUCAGACACUCACCCCGGACAUCACGGCAUUCGAGAAUGCAGUAGAUGCCAUCAGAACCACAGCGAACUUCGACAAACCAGAGGGUCUCUUUGAUGGUUUAAUGCAAGCUAUGGUGUGUGGGAGUAAAAUUGGUUGGAGAAACAAAGCCAGAAGGAUGUUACUAUACGCCACAGAUAUCAACUUUCAUCAAGCUGGGGACGGCAGGUUAGCUGGAAUCCUGGAACCAAAUGAUGGAGAAUGUCAUCUAGGUGCCGGCGGAUAUUAUACAAAGGCUGAAAUACAGGACUAUCCUUCCGUCGGACAAAUUAUUCAGAAAGCCAAGGAAAACAAUAUAAAUGUCAUCUUUGUGAUUGGAGGAAACUCUUCUGAACUGACCAAUCAGCAAGUUCGGAGUCUUUACUAUGACAAACUAGCUCAACUUUUACCAGGGGGUACCCAAGGGGCUUCUCAGCUGUCUUCAGAUGCAACAAAUAUUUUAAACAUCGUUAGUGAAAAUUACAGGCGUUUACGUGAGACAGUAAAGUUGGUUGUUAAUGAAGAUUUUGAGGAACUGGAUGUUACCAUGUAUACAAACUGUAAUACAGGGGGACGACAAGCAGACAGAACUAAUAUAUGUACCGGAUUAACAAUUGAGAAAUGGGCUAAUUUUACUCCGGUAAUAAAGUCUACUUUUACCGCCUGCCCGGAGAAUAGAAAUCUGACCUUCACCAUUUUCCCUGAGGGCCUCGAGGAGCGUGUUCAGGUGGACGUAGAACACGUGUGUGAUUGUGACUGCCAGCUAGAACCGGAAGCGGAGCCAAAUAGCGCUAAAUGCAGUUUCAAUGGAACCUAUGAGUGUGGAAUCUGUAAAUGUAACCCGGGUUGGAUAGGGGAUUAUUGUGAGUGUGAUGAUAGAGGGACGGCAGAGGAGGCCUGUGGAACCGACAACGGAAUUUGUAACAAUGCGGGAAAUUGCACGUGCCGGAAGUGUGAAUGUUUCAAAGGCUACAGUGGAGACAAAUGUGAAUGUAAUGAUGAGAAUUGUAGGACCUACAACAAACUUCUCUGUGGGGGUCCUUCGCAUGGACGUUGUGACUGUGGUCAGUGUGUCUGUAAUGCCAAUUAUACCGGGGACGCCUGUGAAUGCUUGACCUCUACUGACCCCUGUAAAAACAACAACGGGACGAUUUGCUCCGGUAACGGUGUGUGUGAGUGCGGACGCUGUCGUUGCGAUACAGGCUGGAGAGGAACGCUCUGUAACAGCUGCACGAGUUGUCCCGGUAUCUGUAAUAACAAUAAGGACUGCGCCGAGUGUGUGGCCUUUAAUCAAGGGAAGUAUAACAGUACCGUGUGUAGAAAUCGCUGUUAUAACGUCAGGACCGCUCCACUAUUGGAACCAGCAACCCAGGAAGGUGACAAUGUCACAGUAACAAUAAAAUCAUGCAUCAUAGAGGACACUUCAGGAUGUAUCAUAAACUUUAAUGUCUAUGACAGUGAAACUGGACAGGAAGUUGUUGUCAAGGACACAAAAAGAUGUCCUGCCGGUCCUCCAGAUCCGGUGACGAUAGGACUCAGCAUUUCCGGUGCCAUUUUCCUCAUUGGUCUUUUGCUUUUACUGAUCUGGAAGCUAUUGACUAUGCUGUAUGAUAGCAUGGAGUAUUCCAGGUUUGAGUCGGAAAUCCAGAAUCCAGCUUGGGAAAAGUCUGAGAAUCCCAUUUACAAGGAGUGUGUCACAACGGUACAGAACCCGAUGCAUGAAACCCAGUUUAACCACGGCAACAUGGACGAGAAAGCUUUAAUGUGAAAUGGAUGUGGUCGCCAAAAUGGCCUCUAUUUUAUGAUUCACACACUGUGAAAUCACUUAUUUUCGUGAGGAUUUCAUUUUCGAUGUUUUCGAGGAGGGAAGAGACCAACGAAUUCAUGACCACCACUAAAUUUUAAAUUUGAUUUUUCAACCAGAAAUAAAGUCACAACAAAUCAACAUUUUUUCUUCAAACCUUGAAAAUUUUACCCCACGAAAAUACGUGAUUUUACAGCAUUCUGAAAAGAAGUUAACUUAUCAAGACGUCUACUGGAAGAAAAAUCACAAUAUCAAAUACUUAUCUAGACAUUAUAGUUGCUUUUUUAAUGCCAGUAAAUAUAUUCAAAGGCAGAUACAUUAUUUGAAUUAAUUAAUUGAUUAAUUUCAUGUAUACACUAAGCAACAUAGAAAAUAUGAAUAUAGUUAAUAUUAUGUGUUGUAGCCAAGGUAAGUUAAUGAUAUAAUACACACGGGUUUGUUCAUGAGAUUAAAUAUAUGAAUAUGAUAUUAUUAUUAUUCAUCUUAGUCAUGACUAUCCUCAGUUCUUAUGGGUCUUGUUAUUCUUGGAAGAAUCGUGUUUUGUAAUUUUGGAAACUACAAACAUGUGCAUGUAAUUCAAAUAUAAUGCACUAAGAACAAAAUAAUGGUGAACAAUGUUAAAAGGUCCUCAUUUCAGUAGCUGUUAUGUUCUAUUAUUAAUAAAUGUAUCUGUUAAUUUCUUUUUAAAACAAAUUGGGGCUUCUGUGAGUGAAAAAUAUCUCAAGUGCUAAAAGACAUUAAAUGAAUGAUAGUGAUGAAUGGUGUGCGCAAUUGAUUUAAUAAGGCCAAAAUGUGCAAUACAUUAAAUCUAGGUCCAUUUUAUUUUUUUCUUAUUUCCGUUUAUGUACGAAUGUAUGAUACGUUUUCAUAAGCAUUGGAUGUAAGUUAUGCAGACUGUUAUAUUCAUUUGACAGGAGAUAUCAGUAUCAUGUAUUAUUCAUAAAUUGGUUUGAUGUAUUAAUUUUGAUUUCUGUUGAUUAUGAAUUUAAAUUUCAUUAAUAUGAGAGUUUUUUUAUUCUUUGCUUUGUAAAUACAUAAUGUCUUCUUUGUUCUGAUUUAUUGUGAUAAUGCAUCAUUUAAUGUUAUUUAAAAGGAGCGAAAAAGUUUGCAUGAUACAUGUUGAAUCAUGUGAAACAAACAUCUGAUUUUCUUUUUUUUUCAUUUAUACCCUAUUGGUGUUUUAAAGAGCAUGUGUUUUGAAUGCGCUUUGUUUCAAAAUGUAACAUUAUCAUUUUAUAUGCUUGUAAAACAAAGCAUUUGUGAUAUUUUAAAUACACUUAGUUUCAAACCUUUUUAAUGAAAAAGUGCCUCAGUUACAAGCACUGAUGAAUUCAUUCAUUUUGAAUACCUUCUUUAUAUGUAUAUAUUUUAAUAAGUAUAUUAUAGCUUAAUAAAAUAUUUUUCAAUUUCAUAAAAA